rnacentral:rRNA from 1 species
UACAGAGGUCUCAAGCGUUGUUCGGAUUCAUUGGGCGUAAAGGGUGUGUAGGUGCGCGCGUAAGUCGGGUGUGAAAUUUCGGAGCUUAACUCCGAAACUGCAUUCGAUACUGCGUGCUUGAGGACUGGAGAGGAGACUGGAAUUAGGUGUAGCAGUGAAAUGCGUAGAGAUCAUGAGGAAGACCAGUGGCGAAGGCGGGUCUCUGGACAGUUCCUGACAGCUGAGACACGAAGGCCAGGGGAGCAAACGGGAUUAGAACC